UGGUGAAAGAAAGUGAUCUGUCCUAACCAGGAAGACAACGCUGAGGGUGGCGGAUGUUUGCUAUGAGGUGGUGUAUGUACGUGCUGCACCUCAUGGCCGUGGCCUGCUUCCUGCAAGCCAAUUUACUGCUUCUUCCGAGGUCAUAUAGUGAUGCUAUGGCACUGAGAAUCUGAAGGUUAGUAAUUCUAUUCUAUUCUUCUCUAUUAAGAACAGUGUUAUUUUUCAUGAUUUAGUGACUGCUGAGUGCUAAUAAAUUAAUUCAAUCAUAUUGGGCCAUCUGUUAUAGAGCUAAACGAACCAUCUGAAGUGGGAUGCAUUGCA